ACAUGCCUACAACAUAGCAUUAAUGCAAUGGAUCCCACUAGAACUCUGUAGUUAAGUGUGCUCAGGAUAGAGUAGUAUUGGGAUGGGUGAUCAUCCGAUAAGUUCUAGUGUUUUACAUGUC
rfam:Picea glauca, whole genome shotgun sequence.